GUCGAGAAUAAUUCACAAUGGACGAAAGUCUGAUGGUGCAACGCCGCGUGGAGGAUGAAGGUCUUCGGAUUGUAAACUCCUGUCAUCGGGGAGUAAGACCUGGCGGUAAAUAGCCGACAGGGUUGAUAGUACCCGAAGAGGAAGGGACGGCUAACUUCGUGCCAGCAGCCGCGGUAAUACGAAGGUCCCAAGCGUUGUUCGGAAUCACUGGGCGUAAAGGGAGCGUAGGCUGCGCGGUAAGUCAGGUGUGAAAUCCCGGGGCUCAACCCCGGAACUGCACCCGAUACUGCCGUGCUAGAGGGUUGGAGAGGUGACUGGAAUUCUCGGUGUAGCAGUGAAAUGCGUGGAUAUCGAGAGGAACACUCGUGGCGAAGGCGAGUCACUGGACAACAUCUGACGCUGAGGCUCGAAGGCCAGGGGAGCAAAAGGGAUUAGAAACCCCAGUAGUCC
rnacentral:rRNA from 1 species